rnacentral:rRNA from 1 species
AGUGAACGCUGGCGGUAGGCCUAACACAUGCAAGUCGAACGGCAGCACCGUAAGAGCUUGCUCUUACGGGUGGCGAGUGGCGGACGGGUGAGGAAUACAUCGGAAUCUACUUUUUCGUGGGGGAUAACGUAGGGAAACUUACGCUAAUACCGCAUACGACCUACGGGUGAAAGCAGGGGAUCUUCGGACCUUGCGCGAUUGAAUGAGCCGAUGUCGGAUUAGCUAGUUGGCGGGGUAAAGGCCCACCAAGGCGACGAUCCGUAGCCGGUCUGAGAGGAUGAUCAGCCACACUGGAACUGAGACACGGUCCAGACUACUACGGGAGGCAGCAGUGGGGAAUAUUGGGCAAUGGGCGCAAGCCUGAUCCAGCCAUACCGCGUGGGUGAAGAAGGCCUUCGGGUUGUAAAGCCCUUUUGUUGGGAAAGAAAAGCAGCAGGUUAAUACCCCGCUGUUCUGACGGUACCCAAAGAAUAAGCACCGGCUAACUUCGUG